GAGGUAAACUUGAUAUUAACCCUUAGAUCAAACAUAACAGAGAAUCCUUUUUCCAUCGCAUUUUCUUACCUCUCUUCUUCUUCCCUUGGUAUUUUUUUUCCUCAAAUUAAUUAAUUAUAUGGGAUGAAACCAAAUUAUUAACCAAGUUUCCCUUUGAUCCGUGAACUUCAAUUAUUUCAAUGAAUGCGAAAACCUCACAAAAUUUCCAAUCUAACCUUGUAAUCAACUUCAAUUCAUGAAAGUUGACCAAAUGCAAAUCUAUCCGUACAAUCACUAGAAACUUAUUUAUUGUUAGUCAGCUUUUGUUGGCCCAUAUGGCCUUGAAGAUGACCAUCAAACAUUUGAGAUAAAAGUAUUCAACUGAUAGUCACAUGCAGUGUUUGAAAAGGCGCGAGGCGCAAAAAGGCGCAAAACUCUCCUGGAGUCUAGGCGCGAGGCGCACUACGAGGCGCGUGCCUCAAGAAGGCGAGGCGCACAGUAAUUUAAUUUGAUAUUCUAUAUUAAAAAAACUCCAAAAUAACUAUACAAAACUAAAAUAACUAUAAAAAAAAUAAAGAAAACACAUGCAUAUAGGUUCUCAAGUUAAAAAAAAUAUAUUUCGACUUUCAAUUUAAAAGUGAUUGUGGUGCCAAUGUUUUCAUUUGGCCUCAAGAAGGAGAAGAGGACGAUAAAAGGAGAGAGUGGUAGGAGGAGAGGGCAGUAGAUGGAUUUCAUUAGGGUUUUUUUAGAUUUCUUUUAGAUUCCUUUACUAAUCUUAUCGGGCUAAAACAUAAAAUUUAUCUCCGAAACCCAAUAACCCGAAAACUUUAAUCCAAAAUACAAAAAAUAUUAAAUAUGCCGAGGCGCACGCCUUAUGUGAGCCUCGCGCCUCGCCUGAGGCGCGCGCCUCAGGGCCUACGCGCGCGCCUCAACAAUAGCGCCUCGCCUCACUAUUGCUGAGGCGCGGAGGCCCGCGCCUCGCGCCUAGGCCCUGAGGCACGCACCUCAGGCGCGCCUUUUCAAACACUGGUCACAUGGGUCCAUGAGCAAAUGCUGGAGGGAAUACAUCUCAUUAAAUGAGUUAUAAAACACACUAAUUUAGGAUGCCACGCCAACUAAGGAUGAGACAACACAUUAUACUUCUAAGGCGGAGUUGAAAAUCGAAAUAAAAUACAUGCAGUUCAGGAAACAAAAGAAAAUUGAAAAUCAGUUGAGAUGAGCAGAGGUACAAGGUCAAAAAAUACUUGGCCUGCAGUUUAGGGGUUUCCGGUGUAAAACUCCAGGCUAGAAGCAGUCGAAGAGCUACUAACAUUGAAUGUAAGCAAAACAAGGUUUUAAGUGCUCAUCGGCACAAGCCGUACCUACCGUACUAGCAAGAUAUUGACACGAUACGAUCCUCGUCCCAAUGGCACGGCCCAACAAGUUCUCUGACCCCGUGCCACCGCACUAAAAUCCUUGAAGCAAACUAAGAUCAACUUUCCCUAUCUAACACCACCAUUAUUAACUUAGAAUCCAUUCUCCUUAAACAUGCUAACCAAGUAAAACACAUGAAUAAAACUUCUACUAAACCUUUAACCUGCCAAACUAUCCAACCAAUACUUGGGUCAACUCAAACGAUCCUAUUUUCCAACACCACCACUCUCACCUUCUGCUACUCCACCUAGGUAUAAUGACACUCCUCAAACAUCUCAACAACAGGAGCACACGCAACGAAUUGAACUACCGGAGGUCAAAUAUAAGGGCUUGUUUGGUUCACCCAAACUAGACCCUAGAAUUGGAAUGGGAUUCAUUGAUUCUGAUUGUUUACAGGUAUCGGAUUCACAUUCCCAUUCCAAGCUGGAAUGGAAAUGGGCUAAUCCAUUUAUGGCCAAUCGAGCUUUGUACCCGGAACUUAGGCUCAUUCCAACUUCUACAUCAAAAACC
rnacentral:lncRNA from 1 species